GUCAUCUUCCAACUAAAGAGGCCAGGAAAUGGCCGAGUCAGCUCCUGCUGCAGCACCUCCUAGAAUCAGAAAAGGCCUUUCCGAGAAUCUUGCUGAACCCUGAGGGUGAGGAGUGUCAGAUUUUGCAGCGGGGGGAAGCUGGCAGUGGAGCCUCCACUUCUAAGUAACCUUUGCUUCGGAAACCUGCCAACUCUCUGCCUGGAGACUUGCCUUUGAUCACGACUUGUCACCUUUCAGGAGAUGUUCCACUUUCUAAGCAGGUGAAAAAUGAACCUGAUUAAAAAUAGGGAACUGGACUCUUCACAGAGUCCCCCUGUAAAGCCAAACUACUGGCUACACCUCCAAGGGGGAAAAGGGAACAUCCCUGUCCCUCAGGUCCCAGGGCUCCGUGGGACCCAGGACCCCCGAACAGCCUGCAACCCUACGACGACGGCCUGGCCAUGCUCCAGCAGCAGGCAGAGGCUUGGGCCACAGCCACGUACUGGCUCCUGCUCGCUGGGUUCACCUUGGUGACCAGAGGGCACUGUGACCGCCCAUUCUCCUCCCUCCCUUCCUCCUCCCCUCAGUGCUUUAUGGACCUGAGUUUCUGGAGCUUUCUCAAAACCGUGGACACGUUCCCAGUGGAAAUCAUGACAUUUUCCGUUUCACAUUACGCACUCCACAAUGCCCCAGGAAGGGAGAGAGAGAGGGAAGGAAAAUAGGGCCUGGGAGCCAGCCCCUCUCUGUCUGCAGCCAGGGCUGCUCGCUGCUCUGUUUAUCCUGGAGUCACCUCCCUCCCGAACUUGACAGCCAGUGCCCCAGUGUUUUCUUCUGCAGUCAAAGGCCCCGAUGAAUAGGUGAACUGCCUUUUCUAUCUGCUCAUGUGGCACAUCUGGAUAAAGGCGUGCCUCUCUACUUUGUUGUGUUUUUUUAAAACUUUACUUUCCACUGCCAUGGUAACUGCUGCAUGUUUGGCAGAGGGAAAGAGGAAAAAAAAAAAAAGCUCGGAGAGAAGAAAAGGAGCUCUCAGCGCGGGGCUGGCGGCCGUCCAGGGUAAUCAUGCCGCAGAGCUGAAAUGAGGCCUCUGGCGGGCAGCCAAGUUACAAAGAACAAAGCUGUCAGUUCCUAAUGUUGGCGGCAAUGCUUGUUUGGCACCCUUAUAUGGUUUCCCAGAACUCCCUGCCUUGGCCGCCUUCCAUUCCCUUCAGGGCAGCAAACAGGAUUAGCACAGCUCCGAGUUGUUUUUCUCCUCUCUCCUCCAACUGUUCCAAUGACAUCAUCCCUGCUGCAUUCAUUUGCCAGCAGGGUGGUUUUUUUCUCUCUCUCUCCACCUCCCUCCUCCCUUCCUCCCUCCCUCUCCCUCCAUUUCUCUCUCUCUCUCUCUCUCACACACACAUCUCUACUCCCACUCACUUCCUGUAGCCUCCCCCUCGCCUCUGACUUUCUUUAAAUGCAAUGUUUUAGGUCAUUCUUCUUGUCCAGCUUCUCUGUUAAAUUAAAAACACCCUAGUGCUUGUACAUUUAGCUGAAUCAAGCCAGACGCUGUAUUUUAUUUUUAUAACUGAAUUCCUGUGAGAUAAAAAUCUCAUUUUCCUUAGUAGGCUGUAAUCAGCACUCACAGGGAUGUGGUUUCCAACUGCCCCAGCUCGUGCUUCCUUAUGAAGCUCCGCUGAGAAAUGAACUUGGCUCCUGUUCAGGUUUAAAGGGCCCGAGGCCGGUCACACAUUGCUCACUCAUACACACACACACACACACACACACACACACACACACACAGAGGAUGUGCACACAAAGACCAUUAUACAUGUAUGCACACACACAUGGACACACGUUCUUGUCCAGGGAAGCCCCUACGGUUCCACACACGAAGAGCAAAAAAGUAUUCCCUGAGACAGACAGACACACAAUCAGUACCCAGUGUCAUUCUUCCCCUUUCCAGGAGGAAAAUAGGUGAAUAAGUCAAGCUGAAAGCUGCUUCCGAAAAGACUGUUUUAAACUAGCAGGCAGGCCAGCGUUAUGCAACUCAUGGCUAGGUUCAUUAAAGGAAUCGAGGUUUGCCGACUGCACAAAUGUUCCCCUGCCUGCCUCCGCCCCAGCCCCUCCACCCCACCCUGCUCUGAUUCAUGAACUAGUUUUCAGAUUCAUGAAUCACUCGGGAGCCAGCAAGAGAAAAAUGAGUAGUAUUGAUCUCAUUUCAAUUGAAAUGGGCUCAUUAAGGCCAUGCUGGCUGUGGACGGCCUUGCACGACAAGACGCUGGCCGGCGUCCGAGGUCUGCAGGCGGGCGCCCGAGCCUGCGGGUGGGACAGGACUCCUUGGGUGAAGCCUCCGCGGAGGGUGCCCCUUCUUAUUAUUAUUAAAUGGACACAAUAUGAUCUACUGGUACAAGGGACUCUGGCUGCACUCCGCAGCCCUCGUUGGGCAGGCCGGUUUUCUUCUUUUUGUGUGGCCCGUUUAUUUUGUUAUUUUUUUUCACAGUUAAUGGAAUCUCAGUGCAGUUUCGCUCCUGGAUUUCUGGUGACUCUUAAGGACUACCUGAAGUAGGAAUUCACCUUCUGAAACAACUGGCAUAUCUUGGGGUUUGUUUGUUUUAACGCAAACAAGGAGCUUUUUACUCUUCUCCCUCCAGACCUCUGCCUUGCCACCCUCCUUGUACCGUCUUCAGCGAGAAGGACUAGGGGCUAGGAACCAUCUAGACUUGGAGUAAUCUAAUUUAUGUGGGGAAAAUUUCUCCACCAACUGGAUGGCUGCCUUCACGUGGACACCGGUUUUAUAAAACCACUCUUUCCCUUCCCAAAUGAGAAUAAUGGUUGAGGAAGCAGCAACAGAGCCUGGGUGCAGAGACAUCACAGAGGGAGGCGUUAGGCCCCUGGGGCAGAUGUCGCAGAGGCCGCCCACGAAGGAGCUCUCUUCUCUCCCACUGCCUUUCCUCUCCCCACUUGAGUUCCAGCUCCCUCUUGACACGAGCUCCCCUCCCCUUUCCAGCCCUUCGCCUUACACUUGUCCUCAUGUCUGGGGAAUCUUUUCCUCUUCCUCUCUACAACACCGGUUGGGCACCGUGUGUGAGCAGAUCAGGAGAGGCUAUUAGCUUUGAUUUGCAGCUUCCAAAUGGAUUUUUGCAUGGUUUCUUCCUCCAGCUCCUUCCACCCCCACGCCAGCCCUGGGAGAUUAAAAACAAUGGACUGGACACAUGCUUUUCAGAAAACCCAAAAAGCUGUCAACCAACACCACAGAAGGAUUCCAUCCUAAGAGGCAUACUUUUGGAUCCAAGAGUUUAGAAAUGAGAUUCUUAUCCAUUGACUUCAGAGACACCGUCAUGCAUUAGACGCAUUUCCCUUGGCAGGGAUUCGACGAAGUGACCUUACUCCCCUUUGUUCCUGCAGUGCCCGGAGAAACUGGGAAUGACCCAAAGAAGGAAAAGGAAGGUGUGUUUGUGUGAAUUUCAAUCAGCAAUUGGUUCAGAGUCAAGAAGAGCUGUUUUGCCUUCCGUGAGGUCUGUCUGAAGGUGCCUUUCAGCUCUGAGCUGCCCGAGCAUUCUUGGGCUGAAUCUGCAGUCAACCGGAGCCCUAGGCCUGCCGCUCCCCCGUGGGUUAAAAUCACUCCCACAGAUUUGCUGGCUGGCCUUAGAGCAAAUGGGGAUAGUGGGUUGGCUCAGGUUUUGCAUUAACUCGUCUGAUAUUUUCCACUGCAGCCUCCCAUUCUGUGAUAAAGCUAAGUUGCUAGGAAAGCUUUAUGUAACACCCACCCAGCCUCAGCUUCUCAGAGAAGCAAGUGUUGUUUCCAGAGUUCCCCAUAAACCUGGCAGCACAUCAAAACCUCUGUUUCAUAACAGACUAGAAAUAGGAUUUUCUAAUAACAUUCCAAGGACUGGACUUAUCGUGCAGGGAUCUGCACUUUUAUGAAUUGUUAAUGGUUAACUAAACAAAGACCCCCAGCAUACCCAACCUGCUAUCUCUGGGGUCAGGAUGGGAAGGGAAGUUGGAAGAAUGUGGUUUCUACAUCCACAAUCUGUUGGUUAGUGACCCAGGGCCCUUUUCAAAGAAUUUGCUCAAUAAUCUCAAACAUAUUGGAGGAUCUUAUUCAUGUUUUUAAAAAAGAAAAAACUACCUCCUUCCUGCUUCUCCCUUCAUUCAUGGAGAAUGUGGUUUCCUUUUAUUUUGUUGCCAGACACACUGACAGUUAUGGAUUUAACCCCCAGCUUUCCUCUGGGAGAGGGCAGCUUUCUUCCAGACACACCUAGAUUUGGGGGAUCCAAAUAUCUUCAUGCAAUAGACAAACCACACAUUUCAUACUCCCCUCCCAGAAUCGUGGGUUGACAGAGUGAUUACAGAGAGAAGGGAGCAUGAGGUUGCCACGUCCCUCCUCCCUCACACCCAUGUGCUCCUCCCGAGAUGCGGUCCACCCCAUCUCAUCCGAUUCUGGUUUAGAUUAUCACAGGGAUGGGAGUUCCCUCGAAAAGGCCAUUUGCAGCCUAUUUAGAUGUCACUUAAGAAACUUCUUCCUAGGAUUCCAACGGCAUGUCCCUUUGUUCCGUGUCGUCACGUUGUCCCCGCUGGCGUGGCGGUUCCUCCCUUCCUGGCUCUUCCCUGCCCUCCUUGUGCAGUAAGCACGUGGGCAUCACUUCAAAGCAAAAGGAGCCCUUGUCCAUCACUGUUGAGGUGAGGAGGACCAUCACCAAAGCCCCAGGACAGGGUAACUGUGGAAGGCAGGGGCUCAGCAUUAGCAAGGCUGACCUUAGGGACAGCCUGAUGGCAGGUAGCUGCCUCUGGGCGAGCAUGAGCUGCCUUAAGAGGAUACUGUUGUGUGGGCUCUCCCUCACUCCUUCCUAUGACCCCCCAUGCCCUCAACAUUCUUCCCUGGGUGCGCUCUCUGGGCUCACCUGGACAAUCCAUGGGAGCACCUCAUUUCCCUGACCAAGACCUAAGCUUUCGUCCAGCUAGAACUGCUCUGCCCCUUCCCUGCACGGCCCUCAGCUCUGCGCACCCUGUAAUGUCCCUUUUUUUCAGCUUAAUUAUCAUCUCUCCCUCGCCCCAAUCUCCUCAAAUAAUUCUGCUUGGUAAAUCUCUUCUAGCUUCUUGCUUUGGAAUAUUGGCUCCCAGAGGUUCCAACUGUGGCCUUUCCAGGGCAGGUCUUACGUGGUCAUUUCUUCCGUGGCUGUCCACAUAAUUUCCUCCAUCCAACUGGCGUUUGCAACAUCUUCCCAUUUAGUUUCAUUUGAAUUUGAUUUACCAGUUUCUUACCCUUUCUUCUGGAUUAUUAGUAAACAUGAAAAAGGAAAGGCUCCCCUCUCACCAGGGCUGUCCCUUGUGUCCAGCUGAGCCCUCAGGAAGAAGCCCCAUUCCCCAUGACCUGCACACCAGCCCUCGAUGUGAAACGACUCCAAGGAAACUGCAGUCAGAGUGGGCUUCCCUCACCAGGCUGAGAUUUCAUAUCCUUGAGAUCAAUUUAGUGCCUGGACACCUGGUUGCUAUGGGGAUGGUUGUCAUGAAAAACACACCAAUCUGUAGAGAGAUAUAAAAUGGAUCCCGGUGGUACACACUCGGGCAUUAGCUUUGAGAAAUGGCUUGCUGCUUAUCACUUUCUUUUGUGGACACAGUGCCUCUGCUUUUCAAAUUCAACCUGGGUGACCUUCUUAGAACCAGGCCAACACAAAUCCAUUUUCAGUUAUUUCCUAAGGGACAAUCAAGGGCUUCCCCAAAUGCCAGAUGCCCCCUGUCUUCCUGUCCCGAGCUGAGUCAGCUGAGAAGAAGAGGACAUUCUUUUCUGGCACGGUUUGUUCUUUACUGACUGCCAUUGAUCCAUUAGCAAAACAGCAGGCAGAACAAAAAUACUGACCCUGACAACGCUUCAGAUCAGGUGGCUCCGAUGAGUGACAGAUGUUAGCAGGAGACCUUGGAUGCACUGCCCAGUUUGCAGGGGCAGAAGCUGAAAGGGACACCAGAGACCAAUUCAGGACACAGCAUAAACCUGCAUCAGGACUGGGUGAUUCAGCAAGGUGUUAGCUCAGGGCUGGGUAAUUCAGCAAGAGACACUGAAAAGAUGUAUAGGGGUGUUCAUUAACCUUACCUCCUCUCCCUCCACAUUCUCAAAACUUGCAUUUGGUUACUACUUGCUGAAGGUCUGUUUCUCCCUUGGUCUGGCUUAUUUGCAGAAACCAGUAAAACAUUUCAUGCAUCUCUCUUGGGCAUAGACCUAGACUCCACGGCUCUGGAAGGGUAAAGGGGCAGACACUGGUUCAUUUUGCAAUUCACAAAGAAUAGCUGGAGGCCUUCUGACAUUUGCUCGGGGUAAGGGUUGAAAGAGUGGUUUGGUGUUCCGAUUUUAAGCUGUGCCAUUGGCUAAGUGUAACUUGGAGUAGGCAAAUGGGGAAAAUUAACUACAGCAAUAGUCACGUUAGGAAUGCAGGCAAGGUCUACCUCUGAAAUGGUUCCUAGCGCUAGUGGGACUCCCUAUCUGAAAACCUGCGUUAAAUACAUUCUUUCUUUUUGGGGGAAUAUGUCUGAAUUCUUAAAAAUGGGUCAGAACUUAGUCACUGACUUGGUGUUUCAUCUUCAGCAAUUCCUUUGACUACUCAAUGCCUCAAUGUCCUUCUUUAUUACCGAGAGAAGUGAUUUUGCUUCUGUUUCAUACCAAAAAGAGUUUUAAACAUCUUUCGCUUUGGUCAGUCCUAUCACAUUGCUGCUGAUAGUGGAGGUAAAGACCAGACUCAGAUGAAUGUAAGAAUGUGAGAACAAUGAAUGCAUUUAUCAUGCACAAUGUUAGUAUAAGGUGCUGUACAAUGUUAGAAUGUGUUCUUAGUACUCCCUGUAGACUGAGUGGUUAUGAAGUCCCGCCGUGGUGUUCCAAAUUCUUCAGCUAGUUCCACUAACUACACUGGGCUACUGUUAUUUUGACCUCUCAUUUGCAUAUCUUCAAUUUCUCUAAAUACUCCUUUAACCCUUCCUUAUCAAUAGUUUAUUGACUGCAUCCUCCCAAUCAUUCUUACCUCUUAUCUUUAUUUUUCUCAUUUAAGCUAAUUUUUUAAAAGCAGUUUAAAAGCUCAGCUAAUUUAGUCAUUUCCCUUGCAACACCCUACUCCUUCAUUAAUGGACCUAGUUUCUCUUUUUCCACACUUUUCCCCCGGCACACACACACACACACACACACACACACACACACACAAAAGCAAACAUGUUUAUAAAAACACACCUUCUUCCCCUUAGUUACUUUGGCUGGCAUUAAAUCAUUCCGCCUUUUUUUUUUUUCUCUCCUGCCCCCAUAUUUUUCCUAAACACGUUAACUUGGCCUUGGUGUUCUUUCUCAUUCUCCUCCCCCUGUGUCUCCAUUUCUUGAACAACUUCAGGAGAGUGUUGCUCUUUUGAUUUUUUUCCCCACCCUAGCCCAGCUGAAAGCUCAGGGAACACUUCUUGCUUGCUAUUUUUUAUCCUGUUUUCAUGGGACCUGGAGUCUCAGCCCUGCAAUUAUAGCCUCUUUCAUGUUAUCUUUCUCCCAAGGCAGCAGCUCACAUCCUGGCAAGUGACACAAUGGCAGUGUGGGUCUUGACUUAGCUUUCAUACCUUUUGUUUCAGAAUGCAGGAUUUCCUUAUGGUUUGUUUGGGCUUUUAAAAAAGCUUAUUUACUGAUCCUGAGAGGUGCCAGAUUUACAACCCGGAAGAAUAAAGGCCAAGUUUCUAUGUGCCUGGAAAUACUCCAUCAUGUCCAGGCCACUGUGAUGUUUUGGGCCAACCUAGAGGCUGAUUUGAUGGCUGUGGGUUCUACCCUGUUGUCGCCAAAGAGGGGCUGCAAAAACAGUCCAGACCACAGCUCACUGUGCCUCGUGUUGCAAAGAGAGGACAGGGUGAGGAAUUCAGACCAGGAUAAUGUCUGAAAAUGGGGAGAACGCUGAUUACAUUUUAAAACUACAGUCUUGUUUAUACUCUGGUAGUCAACACUAAUCAUUUAUUUGUUUAAAUUAAGCUCCCUCGCCUUAAUUAAAAUUUGCAAUGUGAUUUUUAAAAAUUUAUCCAACUGUGUUUAAACCUCACAUUCCUAGAUUUUGUACCAAGGCCCUAUCUUUAUACAAUAAUUUCAAUACAAUACAGCAUUUUCCCAAACAAAUACUUAAAUGGAGACAUGAGGUCUUUUUAGGAGAGAGGAUAUGUGACCUUCAUGGUGGAAUCACAGACGGGGCCUUAAGCAUGAGGACGUUGUAGGUUUACUCAGUAAUCUCCAACCAACGGUGUCUGUUUUUUUUCCUUGAGGCCAAGGGUAACGUCGUUGCCUGAGAAGCACUGGAGGAGAGGCAGGAACACAGAUUUGUCGAGAGCACUUACAUGUGUGCACACACCGUAACAAAGGGCAGGCUUGUUGUACGGCCACAUCACGGAGCCAGGGGACGUGCCUCGGGAAGAUGAAAUGUCAGUACUGUCUCCAUAGCACAGAGCCCAGCUCUAUACCAGAGCAGUUACGGAGCUCGGGUCUGGGUGAUUUCAGAGGCCCUGAUCCGAGUAACUUUCCUAAUAAGUCUGACGCUGUGUUCCAGAUUUGUACUUUAUGUUUACUCCUUGCAUCAAGACAGUGUCUCUGGAAGUUUCUUUUUAAAACUUUUUCUUCCCCUCAGAACGCUACAUCCUCUGCCUGAAGUGACGGUCUCAGCCAGCCCAUGAGCCUUGACAGCGCAUUGUUGGAGUUUGGAAUCAACUGCCGCCUUUUCAUGGAUAACUUCCUGAAUCUGCAGUUAAAAUUUCAUUUUUUUCUGGGUGCCCCGAGUAAAACACCCUCUGUUAAAGAUUUAUCACUUCCGCUGUAUUUCAGCUGCCUGUGGGCAUCCCUCAAUGGUGAGCUCCGUGACAGCAAGGACUGUGUCUUUGUCCUCCAGAUCACGAUUCAUGCUAAACACUGCUCUGUCCAGAAUUUAUUGUUUUGUAUUUUGACGUCUCUGUCCAGAUGUCUCUCUGGGAUCACAGACGGAGAGCUCUUUGAGCACAUGGACUUUGUCUUGUUUAUCUUUAUAGCCCCAGUGCUGAACAGACUGUCACACCGAAGGUGCUCACGGGCCUGCCGGACGAUUGAAGUUGUACAACCUGCAGACAGAGGAGCUAAGUGUCCACACGGCCCUCCCUGCUCUUUCCAUUCUAUGUAGCUAUCUUGCUGGCACCAUUUACUCCUUUCUUUCUUUCUUUUUUUUUCUUUUCUUGAGACAGAGUCUCUAGCUGUCGCCAGGCUGGAGUGCAAUAAUGGCAUGAUCUCGGCUCACUGCAACCUCUGCCUCCCGGGUUCAAGUGAUUCUCCUGCCUCAGCCUCCCGAGUAGCUGGGAUUACAGGCAUGCGCUACCACGCCCAGCUAGUUUUUCUAUUUUUAGUAGAAACAGGGUUUCACUAUGUUCACCCGGAUGGUCUCGAUCUGUUGACCUCGUGACCCGCCUGCCUCAGCCUUCCAAAGUGCUGGGAUUACAGACGUGAGCCAUGGUGCCCAGCCACUCCUUUCUUACUCCUUUUUAGUCCAGUGAAAUCUAGCUAGCUUCUCCCUUACCCGUAAUUGUUUCAUUGUAACUUAUUCUUGCUGAGAUUACUAGAGCUAUAUUUAGACCUCCUAAAUAGUAUCAUCCACUGCCUACAGUCCUUUGGACUGUAUUCAGUUCGUGUGACCCCUCCCUCGCAUGGAAACUCUCUCUUGCCUUAGUUUUUAUGGCAUGACAGCCUUAUGCUUGCCUUCCUGUCGCAGAGCUCGUGUAUCCAGCAAUUAUCGGUGCUCCCAAGGUUCCUUGUUCUUCCCCCUUCAGAGGUCUGUGCUCCUCAACAACUCUGACCCAGCCGUGGUUCCAACAACCAUGCCAAUGUGAAGGACCCUAGAUUUCCAUCUCCAGCAAGGACCUCUUUCCAGAGUGUUGGAUGGGUAUUCCCAUUAACCUACUAGACAGCUGCAUGUGGAUCUCUCAGAGCCCCUUUAAACUCAGAUCAUCUUCCCACCAAAAUCUGUCCUCCCCUCAACUCAGGACAAAGACCUCACUGUAGGAGAACAAAGGAAGUGGAAAUCUAACAGGUGGCAGUUCACCUACAAAACCUUAGUGUCAUGCAAGAGGGCUGUCCUGUGCGGUCAUUCUCAGUAUUGAGCCAAUGUAAUGAAGAAGCGUGUAGUGUGUGGUGGGCAUUUUCCAUUAUGUUUUGGUGGCCCCACAUGGCUGGACUUCCCAGGAGCUUCCCAGAGCUCCUGCUUUGGUUAAUGGUGAGCAUUUAGGCCAGACGGCCUUGCAAAUAUCUUUCCUACAUGGGACACACUGUUGCAGCCUUGCUCUAAGGCAUAGCCUGCCUUUUUUUUUUUUUUUGGUAUGAUAAAAGAAAUAUAGAAUAUUAAUAUAUUCUCCCUGGCUUUCAAAGAUUCCCAGUGCAUUUUUCUAAUACAGCAGCUAUUUACAUUAUAUUUUCUUCUUGAUUCAUCAUUUUUGAAUGAGGCCUUGUGGGUUUGAGGGCUGGUGAGAAAUAGUGCCGGGGAGAGGGUGAGGAAGAUUGCUUUAGAUGAGAGGCACGACUGUAAAUCUUGAAGUAAAAUUAUCUUUGUGAACUAAACGGUACCUGAAUUUUAUUCAAAUGAAAAGCUGGGCAAUUGAGUGUGAUUUAAAAUGAUCACUGUUCUAUACUUCAAAUGCACUGAAACAGGUUUAUUUUGCAAUAACCUGGAGAACAUAUGCAAAUUGAAGUUAUAUUGUUUAAUCUGAAGAAGUGAAGGCUGACUGAAUAAUCGGACUGCAAGGAUAUGAAGUAUUAUGUUGAGGAUAUAUACCACGAUUUACCAUUAAAUAGUACACAAAAUUAAAAUGGACUUAAAAUGCUCAGGAAAUAUGUAUUGUUAGAUAAUAGAAAAGUUAAAAUUUCUAAAAAUAGCUAAUGCUUCAUGGAUUUUUAAAGUUUUGUUUUGUUUUGUUUUUUUGUUUUUGAGAUAGGGAGAAGAUACUAGGGGAAAAAAGCAGAUGGAAAACUUCCUUGUGGUUUUUCUGUAGUAGCUUAGAGUCUGUUCUAAGGAGCAGAGAUUUCAGAGUAUGGUCUUGGAAACCUUUGUGUUCUUUGUUUCUUGUAGACGCCACACGCCUCUGUCCCCUGGCCACAGAGGCUGAUUUUGCUGUAUCUGACAUGGGUUUCUUGACCUGCUGGGAAGGCCCAAUGUCUAAUUUCCUGGUCUGCACCCUGCAGAAACCAGUGGAAAUUAAGCAGCGAUCGAUUAUCCUACCCCAUCACACCUUUCCUAGAUCAGAUGAUGCUGGCUGAGGCUUUGAAGUAUUGACAACACACUCUUUUUUCUUUUUACACCUUUUCUUCAGAGGACCUGACUCAUUCCCUGUAAAGGGAGGAAUCACUGCAGAGACACCCCCUGUAGCCACACUGCACCCUUGCAGGGGCUGGGGGACGAGAAGCAGGAUGUUGGUAGUGGUGUUGUUACCUCUCAUGACACGAAUCAGGCCCUUCCACCAUACACUUCAUUGAGGGGAUUCUGAAAUGGGGUCCUAAGGUUGCUCUGCUCUGAGAUGGAGCGUGGAGCACCGCCUCGCACUGUUGCUCUGGGGUUUGUCUUUUGCCUGGGUCUAGCUUAGCAAGGGCAAUGGCAAGAAGGGGUUUGGGAGUCAGGAGACUAUUAAUUCCAAGGGCCAAGGAUUGGCACAUCUUGGAAUAUUCCAGAAGUGUCCGCUCAGAUGGCAAAUAUGGGGACAACGUUACCGGCCCUCCUUCCAGCAAGGAGGCUAAUAUAGACCCACUCACUGCUACCAACCACCAACUCUUGACCCUUGGAAUGAAACAGUCUGUUAACUCCCAAACCCCUUCUUGCCAUUGCCCUUGCUAAGCUAGACCCAGGCAAACGACAGGCCCCAGAGCGACGCUGCAAGGCAGUGCUUCGCGCCACUUUCAUCAGGGAGGUGCCUGUGAGAUUCUGCCUCGUCCCCAUGACCUAGUUCAUGCCCUCGAUAUGCCGGUGAGAUGUGCAGGAGCUUCCUGAAGGGCCGCAUCAUCCAGCCUUUAUUUUUGUACCUCUGUAUGAGUUUUUCUCAACUCCUGCUGUCCAGUAGCCUCACUUAGGGAACCUGUAAAUAAUACCUAUGCUUGGGCCCCACCCAAGACCCAUUAAACUGGAUUAUCUGGGGAGGAAACCUGGCAGUGGUGCUUUUUAAAAAGCUCCCCAGAUGACUUUAGUGUGCAGCCUGGAUUGAGAAUUGCUGGAUCAAUUGCUGGGGGAAGAGAGAGUUCUGUGCCAGCAUAUGAGUGGGUUUUCAUAACACUAAGGAGCCUUACUGUGUGUAGGUGAUACCUACACUUCAACCAGGAGUUCUGACAGAUCAAGGACUAUUGCCCUACCAGCUGGGGAGUGACACGAGAGAGGCAUGGGCAAGGAACCAGUACAGGGAGCCCACUUACCUGGGAGAGCUGUACAAAGUUCACUGCAAAGGGUGAAACCUGAAUUGUUUGCAUUAUGCGUGGGUCUUUGGCAGAUAGAGAUGGGGAGACAGGACAUUUCCGCAGAAAGGACAAUGUGCAGGCGUGAUGCAGCAUGAUUUUUCAGGGGGACCAGAAGGUAAGUGUCAAAAAAGCAGACUCUGGGGCGUCCUUGUCCCUUUCCAGGAGCUGAGACCUGAGCUAGACACCACUGGGAUGUGUCUGGAAGGAAUGAACUGGUGGACACGGAAGCAUUGUCUUCUCAAGGGUGCAGGGUGUGCCUGGAGAUGAGGCUGGAGACAGCAGGAGCCCUGCCAUGGAUGGAAUUCUGCACCACGUUAAUUGGACUUUACCCACCCCGGGCACAGCGGUCACCCCGGUGGAGUCAGCGGCACCAUGAGAGGCGCUACCCAGGAACAGCUCUGUGCACCUUGACUGCUCACCGGCCAAGCCCAAGUCCCUGAGCCUGCUCCUGACACCCAGUCGGCUUGCUUCCCCGCCUCAUCUUUGACUGCUCUUCCUUUCAGUCACCCCUCAUCUUCCUUCUACUUCUAUGCAGGUCCAAGCAUACUUACUGUGGCUUAUUUUGUUCCCUCUGCCUGAAAGAGGUCUCUUCACCUGUCAAACUCCCGGGUACCCUUCAGACUGAGAUGAUUGUCCCCUUGAAUGUGAAUUUCCCUGAGGCAAAACUCACCGGUUCUGCUGCUGCGUCUGUGUUCCUUCAACCCAUUCUCCACACAGGGCCAGAGCCAUCUUAGCUCCAGGCACGUCACCAGUUCACGUCCCAACGAGUUUAGAAUGAGUUCACAUUCUUUGGUGGCCACAUGCCUGCCCUACUGGCUCAUCUCUGACCUCACUCUCACCAUGCUCCUCUUCCUUCUAGCACCAUCGGCCUCCUGGCACUUCCUGGAACUGCCUCAGGUCUUUCCUCUUGCCUCAGGUCCUUUGCACAAAUGAUUCCCUCCUCUCUUUCCCUGGAAUUCUCACUGUGUAUCUUCCAGAUCUCUGCUUAAAUGUCGUCUCCUCAGACAGGCCUUCCACACCUUCCUCUCCAAAAGAGGUUCUCACCAUUGUCUCAUUAUAACAAGGCUAGUCUAAGUCCAUAUAUGCUGCUAUAACAAAACACAUAGAGGGGGCAGCUUGUAAACAACAGAGAUGUAUUUCUCACUGUUCUGCAGGCUGGGAAGUCCAAGGUAAAUGUACUGGCUAAUCUAACGUCUGGUGAAGACCCACUUCCUGGUUCAUAGGUGGUGCCUUCUCACUUCAUUGUCACAUGAUAGAAGGGGUGAGGGAGUUCUCUGGGUCCCUUUUAUAAGGGUGCUAAUCCCAUUCAAGAAGGCUCCACAUUCAUGACCUAAUCACCUCCUAAAGCCCCACCUUCUAAUACCAUGACCAUAUGGUUUUUGCUGUGUCCCCACCCAAAUCUCUUCCUGAAUUAUAGCCCCCACAAUUCCCAUGUGUCAUGGGAGGGACCAGGUAGGAGGUAAUUGAAUCAUGGGGGUGGGUCUUUCUAGUGCUGUUCUCGUGAUAGUGAAUAAGUCUCACGAGAUCUGAUGGUUUUAUAAAGGGGAGUUUCCCGCACAAGUUCUCUUCUCUUGUCCACUGCCAUGUGAGAAGUGUCUUUCACCUUCCACCGUGAUUAUGAGGCCUCCCCAGCCAUGUGGAACUGUGAGUCCAUUAAACCUCUUUCUUUUGUAAGUUGCCCAGUCUCAAGUAUGUCUUUAUCAGCAGUGUGAAAACGGACUAAUACACAUCACCUUGCAGGUGAGAAUUUCAACAUAUGAAUUUUGGGGGGACACAAAAAUUCAGACCACAGCAUUUAGUCAUUGUUCUCUGUCUUUCUUUGUUGACUUCAGUUAUGACCACCUCCUAGCUAGAGUGUGAGCUUUGUGAGACAGAGACCACCUGUGUUGCAGCAGAAUAUUUGUUGAAUAAAUUAAUGAAGUAUUAAUUAUUAGGUAUUGCCAUUUUAAUGAGCAUGUUUCCUUCAUUGCACUGCAAGUCCAUUGAAACUAUUAGCCUUUGUGAUUUUGACAUAUAUAUUUUGGCCUGGCCCCAAAUCUAAAUAUUUGCAGGAUUGAAGAGAACUUGACUCAUGAUUGGAAUGAACUGCAAAGAGGAAGCUUUCAAUACUUGAGCACUUCAAACUGAACCUCUGAAGUGGGACCGAACCCAAUGCAAGCCCUAGGCCAAGAUUCAAGGGCAGUUCCUUAAUGUUGCAAGUGACUUAAGGAAAUGAUCACUGGCCAUAGGCAGAGCAGGAGAGAGCAGACUGAGCUGAAGGGAAAGUUACUGGUUUACCUCUGGGGUUUCCCUCUGUCCCUGAGUCUUUUCCUUUCCUAGGGCAAGAGCCACCCUGUGGGGUUGGAACAGGGUUUUGAGCCUCCUGCAAACCUGCAUCCUGGGCCCCGGUAAGGAGCUCAUGGCCUCACGGUUUUUGCCCUUCCUUCCUAUGCUGUUACUGGGGAAUGAUUGCCAGCAAGGGGAGAUUGCGAGGAAUGAAAAGGGCACUUCAAAUGGACUAUUAAAACACACACACCCCAGGAAGAAAUGCUCCCAAGAACCCAGAUUGUAGAGCGGGGGGUCUGAGGUAGUGGGCUUAGCUCAGGGGCCUGAGGAGGUCUCAUGAUGCUAACAACUGAGUCCCUGGCACCACUGUUCACACUACCAGUGUUGACAAGUAUUGAGGUUUGAGCUCUGCAAAACCUAGAAAGUGGCCUCAUGCAUUCCUAUUUUAAAUCUCUCAGGUUUGGGAAAAAUGAAACUAGUGCUUCCUGAUAAUGAAGAGAAAAAGGCCCCAAGAGAAGAUCCUCCUGCUAAUAAAGAAGUCUCUUGCCCUCUCAUAGGCUCUCUUGGGGCUUCCUCUUGGGGUUACCCCAGUUGAAUCUCCCUUUUAAAGCUCCACAAGGGGUUUGGAUGUGAUUAAACUGACAUGGAAGUGAACACUCACUCAGAUUCCCAGGGCCGGGAAGCCAUGGGGCACAUAAUCACCCUACCCUAAAAUGCUUUCCUUGGGGCUUACUCAAGUCCACUCUUGGGAAGCAUAUGUAGGAAGGAGGGGAUAGAAGCCUUUGACUCUGCUGGUGGAGGGAAAUGGACUCCCUUACCCCUUCUAUAUCCAUAUGCUCAUUUCAUUGACCUGUGGCACAGAAAGUGCUUACACAUCUUGGUCUGGCACGGUAGCUGACGCCUGUAACUGCAGCACUUUGGGAGGCUGAGGUGGGCAGAUCAUGAGGUCAGAAGAUUGAGACCAUCCUGGCUAACACGGUGAAACCCCGUCUCUACUAAAAAUACAAAAAAAAAAAAAUUAGCUGGGCAUGGUGGCAAGUGCCUGUAGUCCCAGCUACUUGGGAGGCUGAGGCAGGAGAAUGGUGUGAACCUGGGAGGCGGAGCUUGCAGUGAGCUGAGAUCGCGCCACUGCACUCCAGUCUGGGCAACAGAGCGAGAUUCUGUCUCAAAAAAAAAAGUGCUUACACAUCUUACAUGGACAAGACACUAGCCCGCUUCAUUGCUCCACAUUGCAAAUCAGUACUCCUCAUUCUCUUUCCAGCCUUGUCCAUGAGGCUUCUCCUUAGCAGAGCCAGGCAGAAGUUUGCCCUCAGUAGUACCCUCUCACUCUCCUUUUCUCCCCCAUGCCUGGCCCUUUUUGUGUCCCCACAAGGGCCCAGUAUUUUCUUGCAAUUCAGGCUAUUCACGACCUCCAAGACACCCAACUGCAUUCCCUGACUCUCUCCAGGUCAACCCUUUUCCAUUCCCCCAACAAAACACAACAGUCCUAUUUCUACUCACUGUUGAGGAAGAAAUUAGAUCUCUGAUUCCUCCCUCUUCUUUUCCCUCAAUACCAAUUAGCUAAAUUGUAUUAGAUACCAUUUAAAAUGAUGUUCUUUCCAGGGUGUUUUGAGUGAUAACAGAGGCUUCCUGAAGGUUUACCACCCAAACUUACACAUCUGGCAUCAGUUUUCUUCUUGUGCUGUCAUCUCUAGGGUCUAUCACACAAUUCAGACUUCAGUGUACAUAACUUGUCAUAUUUUGGGCUAUUUUCAUGUGAGUUAUUCCUGUCUCCCCAUCUAGAUUUUAAAUUUUAAAUGCCUAUAUCCUAACAGAGGGCUAAAGACAUUGCUUCACACUUACGAAUGAGCCUCUAGUGUACGUGAAGUCAGCACAGGAAGGAGAAUCAUAAAAUACUCGCAAGUUUCAGUGAGGAGGACUUUGUAGAAUCUAGUUCAGCUUCCUCAUCUGAUAGAUAAGAAAGCUGUGGUUCAAGGAAGUCUAAUAACACAUGAAACAGUGAAUCAUUAAUAAUUCAAGAACAAAUAUUUAUUCAAUGUCUAAUCUGUUCAGUAUAAUGGGAAUAUAAAGAUGAACCAGUCAUGGACCUCACUCUCCAUGAACUUAGGGUUUGAUUUGAGAAGGAGAUAAGAUAUGUGUGAGCAUCAAUAACUGUACUAUGCCAUAGGAAGCACCAUGAAAGUGCUAAAUGAACUAUAAUCAAGUGCUUAACAUGGUGAGGGUGAACUUAAAAUGCUGUGAGUGUCCAGGAAGAGCAGAGCUGAGGACAAGGGGUGACACAGAGGAAAUGUCCUACCAGGUCCAUGUCAAACAUCUAACUGGGAUUAUAGGCAAAAGCCUACUGAACCUGGUAAUGAAGCCCACACCAUGCUGCCCUUUGCUUGGUUAGUGAUGACUCUCAAGCUUGCUUUAUCCCAUGUUUAUGGGGAGUGUAUUGGGUGCCCUGUUGUGUCUGAUAAAGAGACCUAGAAGGAAGCUAAAACAGCAAAUGUAUCAAAUUACUAUCUUGGGACCUUCCAGCUCAAUCUGACUCUAACGAAGAUAGCAACUUAGAGGAAAGAAAACUGUCUUUGCUUUUUUUAAAUAUCCUCUCUUUCCACCAAGUGACUAUUGUUAGGUUUCAACUCUAUGUUGGGUUUCUCUCCCCAACUUCUUCCUAUUAAAUUAAUGCUUGCAAGAUGUGCCAGGAUGAUACAAAUAACUUUCAAAGGCAGAGCCCAGCUCUCAAAAGAUGAUGAGUCCUGAUACUCCAUGCUUCUUAAAGACUUACCUAGGUCAUCUGAGAGACAGAAGGCAAUCAAUGAUGAUCAGGGUCAGGUGCAUCCACGACUCACUCAAUUCUUGCACUUUGUGCUAUUGGGACGACAAAAGAAGCUGAAGCCACAGUUCGUGCCUUCAAUGAGAUUGCUGUCUAAGGGAGAGGAAAUGGCCAUGGUCGAAACACGUAGAGAGACUGACCCCUAAGUGCAAGAUAGCAUGGUUUGCAUUACAUACACGCAUAUGUGCGCGUACACACACACACACACACACACACACACACACACUCCCAAGAGCAGGGUUGUGUUUUGUUGCCUGGUAGCUCCACCACUUCACCCAGCUUCUAUCCAUCUUUCACCUUAGAGACAGAAGGGUGGAAGCUCUUUAGAGGCUACCUUGCCACCUGACUCCUCCCUGCCCCUCCUUUGAGACCUCCAGCCCUCUGUGAGCGCAGCUCUAUCUUCAGCCCUCAAUCCUGUCUCCUCAUCUGGCGCCCCUUUUCCAUGUCCUGCAAACAUGACUAGACCCUGAUGAUUCUCAAAAAUGUGUCAGCAACUCUGCCUUCCUCUCAAACUACUGCUCCACUUCACCCCUUCCCUUUGGCACCAAUCUUCAUUUUAUAAAAAGGCUGCAUUCACUGUCCCUACUUUCCCAUCCUCCACAUUGCUACGGUUCAGUGUUCCGCCAUUGUUCCGGCUCAGCUUCUGCCAGCACCGGGAUGGCUCCUGUGCUCAUGCCUGCUCUUGGGAUGUGAUGAUCUCUGAGUUUCAGUCUUGGGACCAGCUCUUCACUUUCUCUGAGCAAACAUCGUUUGCUUCCCCUGGCUGACAACUCCCAGAGGCAGAUUUCCAGUCUUGACUUAAACCUUAGGGGUGCAGAAACUGUAUUUCCAACUACCUAUCAAGCAGUGAGUCUACCUGGAUGUCCCUUGAAAACCUUUAAUAAACAUGACCCAAAUGGACUCAUCCCCUUCCCCCUCAAGCUUGCUUCUGUAACAGUUUAUGUGAUCAUCAUGAUCUCCCGGGCAGCCUUCAGCUAGAACCUCAGGAUUAUCUUGAGUGCCUCCUUCUCUUUCAUGCCUGCUAUCCAAUUGCUUCGUAAGCAUCCCUUAAAUCUCUUUCCUCUUGUCACUCUAUCCCUGAUCCCUCAAGUCCAGCUGACCCACAUACUUUUUCCUGGUGGCCCCCAAAAGCUGUGAACACCAGCUCUUUUAGGCAGGAGCUCCAGCCCCCUCUUCACUGUUCCCAGCUCCAGGUCUCCUAUCCUUUGUUCCCCACCCCUUUAUUUCCAAUUUCUGGCCACUUUAGCUUCAUUGGUUUUAGAUUUCUAUAUGAUUUUCCACAAUAAUGCCUCAUCUGUCCUAUACUUCCGGCUUUUGGUAUAAAAUCACACCCAUGGUCUCUGGUGAAAAACAUCCUAGUCCAGUUCCUACGCCUGUGAACCCCACUGGCCAAUCUAGCCCCCAAGGCUCCGUCUCUGCUCUUCCUUAGUGAUGCUAUUAUUUAUGCACCCAUUUCUUUCACUGGACUAUAAACUCCUUUAUGACAAGAACUAUUAUUUACUUCUCUUCAAAUUCCAUUACAGGCACAUAGCAAGAGAGAUAAUAGGAUUAUUAAAAUAAAAAGAGGCCAGGCACGGUGAGCUUAUGCCUGUAAUCCCAACACUUUGGGAGGCUAAGGCGCAUGAAUUUCUAGAAGCCAAGAGUCCGAGACCAGCCUGGGCAACAUAGGGAGACCCCACCUCUACUAAAAAUAAGAAAAAAAAUUAGCCAGGUGUAGUGAUGUGCACCUGUAGUUCUAGCUACUCAAGAGGCUGAGAUGGGAGGAUCAUGAGAGUCCAGGAGUUUGAGGCUGCCCUGAGCUAUGAUCAUGCCACUGCACUAAAUCCUGGGUGGCAGAGCAAGACUCUGUCAAUAAAAUGAAAUACAAUAAAAUGAAAAGAGUGUGGUAUGUACAGGAAAUAUUCAGGAACGAUUCAAGGCAAUGCAUGUACUAUAGAAAUGCAGCCAGAGGGAAGGGCUAUUGUGGAUUGAGUCAGUACAGGAAGCUGGAUCUUUAACUGAAUACAGACAUUGUAAUUACAUAUCCUAAAAGCAGGAAAGCGCUGGUGACUCUGAUGAAGCCUAUCUUUUAAUUCCUCCCAGUGCCCUAAAUUCUUCCCUGACUCUGUUACCCUCUCAUAACCCAGCUGCGAUGACUACUGCCUGUAACACCGAGACGAGCUCUCCAGACUGUCAUGAGAAGCUUGGUGCAGCCAACUUGAAGUCAUGAGCUGACAACAACCUCCCUGCACAUGAGGGCCAGGAGGUUGGGAGGACCCCUGUUCUGCUUACUUAGACCAAAGGGAUCUUGGAUCUCUGCUUGGCCCCAGAGUAGCUCCAGAAUCAGAAAUGUUCAUCAUUCCUAUGAGCACAUAUCCAGGGAGUGUUUGAUCAUAAGUUCUCCCCAGAGUCAAGUCUUCAGCCAAGUGCGAACGGGCCUUGUAUAAUCCUGGCUGAGGCUCAAGGGCCUUGUUAGGUUUUUCCAAAGAAGUAUCCUAGGCCUUCUCAUUGGCUUCUCCAUUUACUGUUUCCUGUAAUGCUAUCAUGUGAUUGGAAUACUGCUGUCCUUAAGGCUGUGUCCCUUUGGUACGAUGAGCUCAAGUUUUGUUCCCUCUUCUCCUGGCCUUGCCUCUAUCCAACCCCCUUGGCUGAGAAACCACUGGACUGCAUCAGCCCAGAUUAUGUUUUCUUCCGAGAUCUUCCAGAUCUAACCUGUUUAUCACAAGCACAGCUGUGCAUGCAGUUCAUGCCCCAAAUAGAUAGGUAGGUUCUGCAAAGGGUACGAUUUGGGUUUGGCUCAUAAUGAAGGAAAACUCAGUUCAUAAGAAGAAGCUGGGCCAUGCUUAUGAUCGUCUCAGAUUGGUUUUGGCAGCCUGGACACCCUCUGGCCCCUUCUCCCUUCUAGCCACUCACCCUUACCUCAUCACUUUUCCAGCUGCUACAGGCCCCAGAUGGUGCAGAGUAGCUGCUAGCAGUGACUAUUUAUCAUGAGGCUGUGCGGGUGUAAAGAAACAUGGCCAACCACACUACAAGUGGUCUAACAACAUGGUGCCCAAGGGAAAGCACGUCCUG
rnacentral:lncRNA from 1 species